AGAGUUUGAUCCUGGCUCAGAACGAACGCUGGCGGCGUGCUUAACACAUGCAAGUCGAGUGCGCGGUUGUAGCAAUACAACUGGCGCACGGCGCACGGGUGCGUAACACGUGGGUAAUCUGCCCUCUGAUGGGGAAUAACUCGCCGAAAGGCGAGCUAAUUCCGCAUAAUAUUCCGAGAACUUUGGUUUUUGGACUGAAAGGCGUAAGUCGUCGGAGGAGGAGCCCGCGCACGAUUAGCUAGUUGGUAGGGUAAUGGCCUACCAAGGCUUUGAUCGUUAGCUGGUCUGAGAGGAUGGCCAGCCACACUGGAACUGAGACACGGUCCAGACUCCUACGGGAGGCAGCAGUGGGGAAUCUUGCACAAUGGGCGAAAGCCUGAUGCAGCGACGCCGCGUGGGGGAUGAAGCAUUUCGGUGUGUAAACCCCUUUCGAUCCGGACGAAAACCUCGCAAGAGGAUUGACGGUACGGAUAUAAGAAGCCCCGGCUAACUACGUGCCAGCAGCCGCGGUAAGACGUAGGGGGCCAGCGUUGUUCGGAAUUACUGGGUGUAAAGGGUUCGUAGGCGGUGCGGCAAGUUGGGAGUGAAAUCUCUGGGCUCAACCCAGAGGCUGCUUCCAAAACUGCUGUGCUUGAGUGUGAGAGAGGCUCGUGGAAUUGCAGGUGUAGCGGUGAAAUGCGUAGAUAUCUGCAGGAACACCCGUGGCGAAAGCGGCGAGCUGGAUCACUACUGACGCUGAGGAACGAAAGCUAGGGGAGCAAACAGGAUUAGAUACCCUAGUAGUCC
rnacentral:rRNA from 1 species